rnacentral:rRNA from 1 species
AGUAGUGGCGAGCGAACGCGGAUUAGCCCAAACUUUAAUGAUUCGUCAUUAGAGGGUUGUAGGACCUGCAUCAAGGCUGAAGAUCCAAGUGGAAGUAGUUUGGAAAACUACACCAAAGAGGGUGAAAGUCCCGUACACGUACGAACGACAGCUGGGCGGGUAUCCUGAGUAGGGCGGGACCGGUGAAAUCCUGUCUGAAUCUACCAGCACCAUCUGGUAAGGCUAAAUACUCCUG